CAGACACAUGUAAACACAAGUAAGUUUCUUAUUUAAUUUACCAAACAAUAAAAUGCCGCUUUCCAAUGGAUGACUUGGAUAUUGUGACUAAAUUAUUUGACUUUUCUAUUGUUUUCAAAGGGAAACUAUAUUAUCAUAAAUUAUUCAAAAGAGUAAGCAUCAAUCACUUAAGGCAGGCUUCUACAGUUAGAUUUACAGUUAAGAUUCAAGCAGAAACCACAGCGUCCAGGUGCUUCCCAUAAGGUCAGAGUUCUCCUGCAAGUGAUGGUUAUGGAGGUGGUUUCCAGAAGGCUGGUUUAGCGAUGCUGAAGCAACUCUGACAAGCUCUCGAAAAUGGGAGAGGAUUAUUGAGCUCCUUACUCAGUUUGAGAGCACAGUAGAAGCAUGUUCAGAUAAAUAUAAUACUGUGGUGGCUUAUUUCUAUGUUUGGAGGUGUUGUAUUACAUUGUUUGUAAUUUUCUUAUUGUUGGUUUUGUUGUUGUCGUCUGUCUGUCUGUUUGUUUGUUUGAGAUAGGGCAGCCUUGAUCUCAUAAACCAUAUUACUCAAUCACUUGAGUCCAGGAAUUUUAAGAAUGUACCAGACUACCAUUGUAUUUUCAUAGGAAUCAAAUCUGCCAAUUUCAUACUGUCAAUGUCAUUUUUCUUAUGAUAAGCAUGACCUUUAACAUUCCCUACUCUAUGAGGAAGCACUAGGCUGGACCCUGCAUAUUAAGAUGGUCUCUGGCUUUGUGGAGGGAGGACUGGGAAGGAGGGCAACAUCUGAAAUGAAAAUAGAUAAAGUAAUUAAUAAGAAAAGAAAGAAGCUGUGUAAUCAUGAAAAGUAAUGAAAGAAACUUCAGUGUGCACUGCUGAGUGGAAGAAGUCCAUCUGAAAUGUCCACCCAAUGUAUGACUCCAGCUUUGCAAUGAAGACAGUUAUUUGCUGUUACAAUGGCAGGCACGUGCUCUAAAUCAUAGAAUAGAUGACAUCAAGAGUUAACUCUAAUGUAAAACAUGGACAGUAAUUAAGUAUGCUGGCAAAAAAGAAAAAGAAAGAAAGAAAGAAAGGAGGAAAGAGAGAAAGAUAGAUAGAUAGAUAGAAGGACUGAAUUUAUGCCAGGUCUGCUACUUGAGGUACAAAAGUAUACAGGGGAAACCAUACCUAGAGUUCUCCUUGGACACUGAACAGAGGCAACUAAUGACAGCCCUGAGAUUCUCGGUCUGUUGCAGGGUCUCACAGACAUUCUAAACUGUUACCAUGUUGCUGAACAGGAUGCUCAGUGAACCGGUUAGGUGCAUAUCAUGUAGUGUUGACUUAUGACUUCUUCCGUUUUGUGUGAUACUAUUGGGGUAUCACAGCGAUAACUGAGAAGACAGAAGACGGACAUAGGAAGAUGGUCCCUUGAAGACCUAAUUGAAAGAACUACCUAGAAAGCACUUCUCAAAGCGAAGAUUCGUUUUUCUCCCAAACUGCCCACAGAGAGCUGACUGUGCCAGACAUUGGGGCAGAGCAAGAGCCAGCACACAGAUUUCCAGCCAGCUCACCUCAGGCCUUGUGGAUUGUACAGACACGGUUUGGAUGUGAAGAUCAACUUGACGAUGCUGAAUGACAAGGCAUGCGCCCUGUGAGACUACUGAAAAACUAACAUUGUUCCCCAUGGAAAUCAAUCAGGGAAGCAGUCGAUCCCACCAUCCAACAGCCCAGUUAAUUGUAGACAUGAAAGGAAGAUUAUGACAACUAAAUUUAAUUUCUCUGCUGCCUGUGGCCACACAUCGUGCUGUGUGCUGCCUAUGUACCAACUGACUUAUUUACCUCACUGUCCAGUGGGCUAGACACUGCAGUGUCAAUGAGCAAUGAUACUUGGGCCUGUAGGCAGCAGGGUUCUUCUGUGUGAACAGGUUUCAGUGAUCUAAACAGUGAGGAAAAUUGUACCCAGUGACGGUCAACUCAGCUCAAAAUGAGUUUUUAAGUAUGUUAAAAGAAAAUUCAAGGAUCACAAGACAGCCGAGGUCAAAGUAGUAUGUUUUUAUGCUUCAGGUUUCACACUGCUAAUUGUUAGAGGAAGAGGAUACAGGAGACAAAGUUGUAACAAUUGUCUCCUCAUUCCAGAAAUGAAAAGAAAACUGGGGGAGGUUCCUAGGACUCUCUAGUUGCUUUUUCUCUCUCCAUGCAAACAUGAAGGCCACAGAUACAUAUGACUGCAUUACCAUUACCAUAAUUUUUAUAUGCAUAUAGUGGAACUGAAUCAAGCAAUAACCCAUUGCGAUUUUAGAAUCAGUAUAAGAUAUGUCUUAUUUUAUCUUGACCUAGUGUUAGGACAAUCUGUUCUAAGUUUGAUAAAAUAUAUGAUAUUUCAGUUUAAUUGGAUCCUUUGACCUAACUGAAAUAUAAAGACGUAGAAAAAAAAUAGU